rnacentral:rRNA from 1 species
UAACAUACCGAAAGGUAUGCUAAUACGAGAUAAUAUACUUUUAUCGCAUGGUAGAAGUAUCAAAGCUCCGGCGGUAUAGGAUGGACCCGCGUCUGAUUAGCUAGUUGGUAAGGUAACGGCUUACCAAGGCGACGAUCAGUAGCCGACCUGAGAGGGUGAUCGGCCACAUUGGAACUGAGACGCGGUCCAAACUCCUACGGGAGGCAGCAGUGGGGAAUAUUGCACAGGGGGCGAAAGCCUGAUGCAGCAACGCCG